GAAGUAACCAUGGCAACGGACAGCAUAUCCUGCUAAUAUGGCGGCGCCUUCCCGAAAUGCAACGCGGAGUGAAAAGACUGUGACGUAAUCCGUCAUCCGGUGGGCCGCUCUGCCCCGCUCAUAAAUUGGGCCGGCAGACUCACCUGCUUUUUUAUUUAUUUAUUUUUUUACAUACACAGAAUAACGUCUAUGUGUUUAAAUUACUGUGUGGCUCAUAACUAAGCUAAUAUCACUAUAUUUGAAGUUAACAUUAAAAUGUGUCGUUUUCUGUUGUCAGAGCGCGCGCGCGCUCUCUUUCUCUCUAUCUCCCUCUACACAAGCGCGUGUCCCAGGUCGGUGCCAUGGAGACAAACCGAAACCAUUAAUGCUGUGGUGUGAGUUAGCGAGAGUGCGCUAAUCGCGGGAAGAAUAAAAUGGAUAGUAAAAAAAAAAGCCAUGUUAAAAAAAAAAGAAGACAAACGAGCACACGUGAACUGGCGACUCAAGAUUCCACCACGGUGGGAGGGGAUUGGAUGGGGAUAGGUGGUGGGCUGGUCUUGAGCAUUACACUCCCGGGCUGAAAAUUGAUCCCACUCCGGCCCUGUACGGCUCUGUUCGGCUCCCGCAAAUCCACACACAGGCAGUGCUGCUUUCGAAAGAGAGAGAUAUAGAACGUUUGAGCGCUGAUAUAGAACGUUGGAAUCAGUAACUUCAAUAUGACACAAUAGAACAUUCCGGUCAACAGAUGUAGAAGAGUGAGAGAAACUGCACACAGAUGUAGUUGAUGAUCAGGAGUAAGAAAAUGUUUAGCGACGUUCAUUGUGAUACAAUGGAUGAAGUCAAAAAGGAGAAGAAGAAGAAGAAGAAAAAGAUUAAAUGAGGGAAGUUUCUGUCACCUUCUGUAGAUGCAGUGGCCUCAGCCACUUCACCUGCUGAUGGUGCCAAAGCAUCUUCCUCUUCCUCUUCCUCUUCCUCUUCCUCGUCCCGGAAGCGCAAAUUUCCAUCUCUGCGCCGGGCCUUCCGCAGAAUUCUAUCAGUGAUUCUGCCCUGUGUGUCCCCCACUGUACCAGAUGAGUCCUCUACCAUUGAGAUCCACACAACCAGUGCUGACACACAAACUGAAGUCUCCUCUGAUGCAUCUUCCUCACCUGCAGUCAGCAGAUCCUCUGAUCCAGGGUUUGAUCUGCAGGCUGCAAACCAGGAGAAAGAAGCCGUCAGAGACGUAGCUGGAAAACACAGCUCCCCUUCCAGCGCUGAGGAUAGUUCCUCAUCCACAGACAGGAGAUCCUCAGAUCUGCUCACUGCAACCAUGGAAAUGGAAGCCAUCAGAGAAGUGUCUGGAGAGUCGAGCACCUCUACUAGCGUUGAUGGUACUUCCUAAAGCCCGGCUCACACUGUGCGAUUUUGGCCACGAUUUGGUCGUCUGGGACAAAUUUUGAAAAUCCUAAAAGAUUCCUAUAAUCCUAGACUAAAAUCCGUAGUCUUUGAUCGCUGGUUUGACAUGUUCACCGACAGCCGAUUAAUGGCCGUUGCGAUCAAAUUUCACCUCCGACAAAAUUCUGGCAGUGUCAGAAGAUUUGGCGCACAGUCCUGCAGUGUGACUACCCCUACGACGAAUAUCAAACUGUCUCCGUUUUUCAAGGCAAGCUAUGAGCAGAAUUAAUGCUAGAGAAUUAUUCUAUCAGCCAUAAACUCCGGCGCUCCCGUCCUCCACUCACGGAAUUCAUCUGAUAUGUUUCUCUUUUAUAUAAACACUGGUUGCGCCGCUGUUUUCAUGUGGGUGUGUAUGAAUGCAUACACUAUUCUUCUUAAACACGCCGGUAUUGCCGCCGUUCGUAUACUUUUCAUGACAGCCAACAUUUCGGUCCCGUGUGCAAUUCAGCUCGCGGUCACUGUACGUGUAUUGAUAAUGUAAAACUCCGGAUAAGUUUUCUUGCGCGCACCUGUUUUUAACUCGUCUUGACUGUCGUACAGUCUUACAUUAAUGACAACUGAGAUCCCAUAGUGUGACUUGAUCAUCCUGUUCCUACAGUCUGACAAGUACAAUCCUAAAGGACCUUUAAAAAAUCGCACAGUGUGAUCCCGGCUUCAGAUCCCUUGGAUCUGGAGGCCACCGAAGGGUUCACCUCUUCCAGCUCCGUGGGUGUUUCCUCCACUGAAGAGAGUGAGAAGAUUGAGCUCCUGGCUGAACUUCAGGCUGCAGCGGUUCUUGAAGAUGCAGCUGGUGAUCAAACUAUCCCUGAAUCAGAUCUUGACUGGUGGGUGAUGGGAGUGAAUGUUCAUCCUCGGAGUGCUAGCCAGUAUGACAGCCCAGUCCAAUGGUCUGUCCCAGGCUGAAAUACUGGAGCUCAUGCAGUGCAGUUCCAAGCUGGAGCAGACUGAGAUCGAGGAGCUGCGUACGGAGG